rnacentral:sRNA from 1 species
GUCCCCAUAAAGAGCCCCAAUUCAUGCUGCAGUCCAAGCCAAGGAUGCUUGAGGACUCAGAUGAGCAACUGGAUUAUACUGUACUGCCCAUGAAAAAGGAUGUUGACCGGACAGAUCGCAAAAGAGGAUGCUGUCCUACCAGUAGCUCUCUUCCCAUCUCUCUGCGAGUUCGUCUUUCAUAACAACCCUCUGGUGGCCCAUACACGAGGGGUCCCUCCACUGCUGAAGAGCUUCCUCCAGGAGCGACUGGGAAUCCACUUAAUUCGAAGGAAGAUAGUAAAGCCUAAGCAUCAUGUUUUGAUGUCUCGGAAGGAAUCAUGGAAGGUAGGGCUUCCAAGGCAGGACUCUCACCCCCAGGAAGAGUGCAGCCUAUUAUAAUGUAUGCAAACCAACCUGGCUGUAGAGCUGCUCACUCCACAGUGCCUGGAAUCUCUCCAUUAGGUUCAGCAUUGCCUUCUCCUUUCCUUGCUUUGGGAAGAGCACUGGAUGAAACAACAGAUAUGAAAAUAUAUUUUAAACUCCUAAAACUCUUACCAUUGAAA